AUGGCCGUCUCAAAUCAACAACCGGUACAGUGAACGAGUUAAGUGACGCGGUUAUGUACGCAAAACAAUCGCGUCAGACGCGCAAAACGUCGUAAAACAUGUAAGGAGUUUUUAUUGUAAGUGCCAUCGCGUUGAAUUUUACGUUUCUUUUUGUUUUGCAAUACCACCGAUCAGCAGUGAAAGCAAAACUUGGCUCGAUCCACCGUUGCUUUCACGAAUUGGUUUUAUCGUCAGUGACGUACGGUUCUCCAACACCGAGGCCAAACACAAUUUGCUGUUCGAGGAUGAGCGCGAAUAAUGUGCAAGCACUUUUCGCCUGUUCAAGAUGUUUCUCGAGGCAUCCUUUCGAGGAGCUUUCGCCGGGGCAACAAUUGUGCAAGGAAUGCAGAGGUGCAUUUCCUGUGGUGAAAUGUACAUAUUGUAGGUCAGAGUUCCAACAAACAAUAAAGGGUAAUACAAGCACUAUUUGUAAGAAAUGUGAGCAGAAUGUGAAAUCUUAUGGUAAGCCAUCGGCCUGUGAAUAUUGCAAUACCAUAGCUGCAUUUAUUGGUAGUAAAUGUCAAAGAUGUACAAAUUCUGAAAAACGUUAUGGGCCACCAGUUACUUGUGAACAAUGCAAACAGAAGUGUGCCUUUGACAGACAAGAUGAAGAUAAAAAAGUUGAUGGAAAGUUAUUAUGUUGGCUGUGUACACUGUCAUAUAAACGAGCAUUGGCAAAAACGAAACAAUCGGAUGCUGAGAGGAGGGCACAUUUGAAACUUGCACAACAACGAGCAGCAAAGCACAAAGAACAAAAAUUAAAAAGUCACAAUAAGAGACCACACAGAGUCGAUGUAACAAAACUACCGCCUCAGUCCGAAGGUGCAGACACAAACGGUCCGACACCGGUGAAAGCAGCACGGAUGGGUGGCGUUCACGAUCCGCAUGAUCCCAAUAGUUCGGAUCACGUAGUUGCGGUUACACAACUUAAAGAAAAGAUAGCUCAUCUCCAGAAACAAAUUUCUAUUAAAGAUGGGCAAUUACUUGCUAAGGAUAGACAAAUUACAGAAUUGAAGGCGAAAAACUUCACGUCGGAAACGGAACUGCGUAACAAGAUGAAAGCGACGGAGAAAGAAUACGAAGCCAAAAUAUCGACAAUGCAACUUAAGAUCUCCAGUUUGUUAAAAGAAGUUGCUUCUCUAUCGAAGAGUUCUAAGCGGGGCGACAGAGUUGCUGCCACUAAAACAGAAGCUGGGACCAACAGUGGAAGUGGAACAGACAGUCCUGUACCUUGAUAAGACGCUGUGCAAAGCGGUAGGAGCGAACCGACCGGAGCAGAGUCGGUCCGAGCGGAGCGCGAUUAAAAGUGAAGCCUCUUGACCACGUGGCCGGAGGUCAAAGUGGCGUAGGCAGACGUUACUCUCUUCGUCUGGUUGGCGGGUUGGUGGCCACCGCGCGGUGGAAGCGAGCCGCGAGGCUGGCAGUGGCGACGGCGGUGGCGGCGGCGGCGGUGACGACGGCGGCGGUGGUAGCGAGGCCUCGUCGAGCGGUAUGGAAACUCGGAGCUAUAGACAAUUCUGAAAACGGAUCCGAAGGAGAAAGGGGGUGACUAGCUGCGUCGACCCAAUAAGACCGAGGGGAUUUUCAGGGACACCGGUUACAGAAACAUCACGACAGCUCAUGGAACUCUGAAGAGGAAAGGGGAAAGAUGAUGGAAAGAGUAGGGAGGAAGGAACACGGUCGAGAGAGGGUCUCUAUGUGUUCGGGACGCGGUCGAAGACACGAGACACACGGCGACCGCUCGUUACAUAAGUAAGAUUCUGCAUAGCAUUUCCCCUUUUGUUGGGAGGGACGUAGCGGUAUCUCAGCUUUAAGUAUUUUCUUUCGGCCUUCGCUUCUUCCGUCGAAUUCGGCGAUUCUGUCUUGAUGACGCCUUGAUCAUGGCUUCCCUUGCGCCACAACGAUAUCGAUGGCAACGUUCUUCGCAUUUAAUCGUGAGUCACAUGCAUCUUUGUUUUUCUGGUCACUCAAUCAUGUCGUAGAAGAAAAGGUCCGAAUGGACACGUGUGACCGAUUACGUAUAAUUUUUGAUUAGCAUGAUGACCGCAGGUAUUUAUUAUAUCCAUGAAUAGUAACCUUUUUUAUUUAUAUUUUAUUUUUUGGUUGAGAGCAGGUUUUCUUGCGCAUCGCGUUUUUAAAUGUUGAUGAUCAAUGCAUCAAUAUGUAUGUCAGUAUAAUAUUUACAUACUACAAUAUAAACAAUCUGUAUAAUAGCAUAGUAGUAUAAUAGCAUAUAAAUAAUUAAUGUAUGUAUAAAAGAUUGAAAAUUGCAGAAUAUAUUCAUUAUAAAUAUUUAUAAAACCAAAUUAUAUUCAAUAUGAUUAUUUACAAAGAUUAAAUGUCCAUACAGCAUAUACUAUAUGAAUAUUGAAAUAAAUAGCGAAAUGGCUUUGUUCAAGUAUUUUGUAGUGGAGAAGUCCGAUACACUCAAACUUCGUUAGCACGAAGAUUUUAAUUAUGAUCGAAAUUAUUAUAACGCUAAUGAUGAUUACAUUUCAUUUUAUUUUCUAUUUUACUAUAGCGUGGAACAACAUUAUUAUUUAAGUUGUAUUUUCAACAUAAUUUUAGUGCAAUUUGGAAUAUGAAAUAUGAAGUCAUUAAGUCUAAUUUUGUUCACUCGUUAAGGUGUAUCAAAUUUCACGUGUAAGCAGACACUUCGCGACAACAAGAUUUCAGAAUCAAAACAAGUUUUGAGUCAUUCUUCGUGCUUCAAAGGCUUUGACGACGAAAUAGCUUCAGUAUGUUUCUCUUAGAUAGUAUUUCAGUUAGAAUUAUUGAUAUAAAUGUUAUUUGAAAAUUAAUAAAGUAAAGUAAAAUAUAGAGUUAGUAAAAUUUGAAUGAAAUAGGAGUAUUAUCCCUUGACGUGCAAAUUGUAAUUGUCAUCUAUAUGUUUAGCCUAGAAUCUUCAGGUUUAACCCCUUCCAUGUUCAUUGCCAGCACUUCACUCACCGACUCAGGUACUGCCGGAAAGGAGAAAGACAAUGGGUACGAUGACUAGUUCAUAAAAUUAAUAAUUUCUCAGUAACUGAUGUUGCGUGUAUAUCCUGUAUGACGUAUUUUAUACUCUGCGUGUGUGUCUAUGUGUGUGCGGCUAGGCCGUGGAAUUGCGUUGUUUCUCAGUCCUCAUUACAUUCACUAUAAUCUAAAAUAAUUAAAGAGUUCACAAUUAGUGACGUAAUUAGAACUCACAGCUAGAUCCACGAUUAAAUACCUACAAAGAAUUAAAUUAAUUAAUUAAUAAAACAAAAAAUAUGAUUAUUACUGUCAAAUUACAAUGAUAUCGUGCAAACUUUUUAAGGAUGUUCGUACUUAUUAUUGUAAUUAAAACUGAAAUUUAUACGUGUCUUUAUCAUGUUCAAUGCACGUCGAUAACGCCUUCGUCAGACAAUUUCAGGAAGAUGCUACGUAGAUUAAGGUGUGAAAAUUGUGAGAACCGUAGAACCAGUAUGCCGAUGUGUUCAUUUUGUCAUUUUUUAAAUAUACAGUUAAGUGAGAUAAAUAGGAUACUUUCCG